rnacentral:lncRNA from 1 species
GCGUCAUCAGUCUGAUAAACUUCCCUAUACAUAGAUCAAGAAGUGGGACUCCAAUUCCUACCAAAGACGGAAACCCAGGAACAGAACCAUAUAUUGUGGCACACAAUUUGAUCCUUGCUCAUGCAAAUGCUGUUGAUAUAUACAGGAAAAAAUAUCAGGUAAAUUUAUAUUUUGAGUUUUUGUAAUAGUUUAUUUACAUAGAUAUAUAGACACAUGAUUUGUAAGUGCAGGCAACUCAAGGAGGAAAAAUAGGAAUGACAAAUGUCGCAGCUUGGUAUGAGCCUUACAGUGACAAGAAAGAAAAUAUAGAAGCUUCUUCGAGGGCGCUCCAAUUUAUGUUGGGAUGGUAAGUAGGUGCAAUAGUUUACAGGCUUGAGUUUUUGGAUUAUACUAUCUAUACGUAAAAAUUGUGCAUAAAGGAUUACAUAAAAUGAUGUGAAGAGAAAAGAUUGGAUAAAAAAGUUGACUAUGUUUUAAAUUGACAAAUGAUAUAUUGACAUGUGGUAUUAUGUAAUCCAUUAUAUAAAAUUUGAUGUACAUGUAGUAAGGUCCUUAAUUUCUAUAUUUCGUCUACUAACUAAUUAACAGCAUAAAUACUAUUUUUUAUAUCCAAUGAUUAUAAGCUAAAACCACCCCCACAGAGCGAAAUAAUAUAAAUGAAAGAUUUAGAUCUAGUAUAGAAUCUCCAUAAAACAAAAUAUAUAUAUAUAUAAACUAUUGCCUAUCUAUUUUUUCUAAUAAUCCGUACACAAUAUAAACACAAUCACGGACCCUGAGGUCUACAGGUCUCAUAUCAAUUACCAUUAGGAUAAAACCACUGUGUCAAAAGAAUUUGACAUAAUUGGUAGAUUAUUGGACAAAAAAUUGACUGUGCUUUAAAUUGUUCAAUGAUAGAAUGUCACGUGAUAUCAUUUUAAACUUUACGUCAACCUUGAUGUUUAUAUAGCAUGAUUGUUACCAUCAAUUGUGCACCUGUCAGGAUCAAGAAGAAAGUGCUACAUUUUAUAAAGUUGCAAGGUUUUAAAUAUUCAUGGAAACUACUUUCUUUUAUGUUUGCAUCACAUGAUUCUCAACAAAAAUUAAUCAGGAUGUAUAACACAAGUCUCUCUCCUUUUUUCUUUUGUGUCCACUUGAUUGUUCAAUAUAUUUUGACAAUUUGUCAUUUUCGUGGAAGUCAUUUAUUUACUAGGCUUAAAUUAGUGUAAAAACAUGUUCUAUAUUUUUCAUUUUCAGGUUUGUAGAACCAAUGGUAACAGGUGAAUAUCCACCGGCCAUGAGAAAAAAUGUAAAAGAACGUCUUCCUACAUUUACAGAUGAUCAAGAGCUGCUCGUGAAAGGAUCAUAUGACUUUUUAGGCAUAAAUUAUUACACCGCUUAUUAUGUUAUUGAUUUUCCCAUUUCUGGACCACCAAGUUACGUGACAGAUCAGCAAGUUAAGUUUUCAAGUAAGUACACUUGUAAACGUUAUCAUUUUAUUGGACUCUUGUAUGACAAUACUCACCCUUUCAAUCUUUUAUAGCUGAUCGCGAUGGGAUGCCAAUUGGUCCAAAGGUAUGCCUUUAACUGAGACAAAUUUGACAGAAAGUAAUUAAGACUAUUGCAACAGAUUAUGCAGGAAAAUAUACUUAUUGGACUCAAAACAACUUCAAAAAUUUAUUGCAAUCCAUUAUUCUGUCCGAAUUAAUCCAUACAUUAAUACAUUAAAGUACUUAACAUGAUUUAAUUAAUUUAUAAUAUUUAUAUAAUAUAAGAACAUCAAAUGACAAUCAUCUUUUCUGCUAGGGCGGUUCUGAUUGGUUGUACAUUGUUCCAUGGGGAAUUUUCAAUCUCAUGAGUUAUGCAAAGGAAACAUAUCACGAUCCUAUCAUUUACAUUACAGAGAAUGGUAAAUAAUAAUGUUAUUCUUAACUUAUCUAUUUAUGUAGUUAGAAAUAUUUUAUUGUCAAAUAUGUCAACAUUGUGAUUUAUUGGAAACAAUAUCCCCUAUAAUUAUGUAUAGGAGUGGAUGAGAAGAACAAUAAAGGCAAAAAUGUUGCAAGUUGUCUUUCUGAUGAAAUAAGGAUUAAAUAUCACAACGACCAUCUUUGGAACCUUAAAUUGGCAAUGGUGCAGUAAGUCAUCGUUAAUUUUAAUUGCAUGCCAGUCAUUAUAUUAAUUCAACUCUAGACAAAUUGUAAAUUAUGAAAUUAAUUGGCAAAUUUCCUUUCCUUUUCAGAAAAAAUGUGCGUGUGAAGGGCUACUACGCAUGGUCAUUAUUUGACAAUUUCGAAUGGUGUGAGGGAUACACAGUUAGAUUUGGCAUUUUCCUUGUAGACUUUGAGAAUGGCCGUUUGACAAGAUUCCCAAAAAACUCAGCUCUAUGGUGGAUGCAAUUCCUUGACAAGAAACAAGCUCAAGAAACAGAAGGACGUCAAGGCUCUGUGAAAAGGCUAAGAAUAGCAGCUAAUUAAGUGUAAAAUUGCUGCUAAAUCCUUUUCUUCUGCAAUGUUAUGUCAAAUAAGGCAUGGAUGUCAUGUUGUUUGGUUUGUUUCCUAAUUUUCUUGUGUGGGCUGUUGUGAAAGCCAUGUUUCAACUUCUUUAAUUUGGCUUUUAUAUCUUGCUUUGAUGAAGAUGAAACAUUCUAUGUCAAAAUAGAAUGUUUUUGUUUAAGAUGUUAAAAUAAUUCCAGGGUGUUGAGUUGUGUGCCUAUAAAGUAUUGCUGUAACGGAUUGAUAUUUUGUGUAUCAUUUAAAUAAAUAUUUGGUUUUUCAUAUAUUUCGUUUAUAAAAGGAAUUCAAGGAAUAAGUGAAACGAAGGCCCUUGGACUUUUGAUACCAUAUGGAGCCAUCGUCGAGUAUAGUAUUGGUGCGAAGGAGUCUCAAGCGUAUAGGGGUCGCCACUCCCCGUCUCGAUUUAUUGCAUGGUAUUUUCAAUUUAACAAGCAUUUUCAGACAAUAUUAGUCGUACACUUUCUUGGUGAAGCUCAAUGAGACACACCUAAUUAAAUCCGCAACAUGUUAAUGAAGCUGUAAAGAGAAUAGAGCAUAGACGUACCUGAAGGGCGGUUGUGUCAUCGUCCUGAUUGACCAGUGUCAGCAGACCUGUAAGGCAAGACCAGAGCAUAAUGAAAAGGACCAUACAUCAUACAUGGCGCCAUUUCGCGUGUCAAAUAUAAUAUUUGAAACUGAAAAAUCAUGUAAUAAAAUGACGUUUUAAGGAUUCACACUAGGAAAUAUUCAAUCAAGCAUACAUGAAAGAGAUGCAUCUAAUUGUCAAAUAUGCAUCUUGGAAUAUCUUUCACCAAAAAAUUAAUUCUCUCUUCUUUUAUCCUUUUUUGAGAACUGGUCAAAUUCAAUUGAUAUACCAUUCGUUAGGUCCUUCCAUGGUUUUACCGAGAGCUCCAGACACUCCAGGUUUCACUUCUCUGUAACACUGUAUUCAAGAAGAAUAAUCACAAAAGAAUUCUAAUAUACAGGAAGUACAUCUUCUGUUAAAAAUAAAUAAACAGGUUCGAGACUUAGACUAUGCACUGGAAAGAUUGUACAUAACCUCCUAAGACACUUAUUAUAAGUAGCAUCAUUAAAUAGCAGUAGAAAGGGAAAUUUUAUUUUGGACUUUUUAUUCUCAAGAUAGUGUAGAUUCGUGCUUAAUAGUACAAGUUCAAUGUUCUUGAAGCUUAUUUUGAUUCACAAGUAUAAAAUUAACUAGCUAUGUAUAUCAGCAGUGGCACUGCUCAGGCGACAUUAAAAAGUGUUGGGGAUUGAACCAUUAACACAACCAAAGCAGCAAAAUACAAUAUCACAAUCCCCUAUUAUGCAGAAUCAAAAUGGCAGUAAAAUAACACCGGCUCCAACUCACACACACUGACAGAAAUGUAAAGAUAAGAACACCAAUAUUUGUUCACUAGGGAAACCGUUCAACGUGAAGGAAAAACCCCGGGACCCAGUCCAGUAAAAGCCAUCCACUAUCAAAAUAAUGAGAUACACAAUUAACCCUCUCCAGAACACAAUCUAGAGGCUACCAAUACAUCAAGAACACAUAUAUAUUCUUGGAUAUCAACAACAACAUCAUACUAAAAUAGAUAUACACACAAUAAGGAGAAAAUCUCACUAAACUAGUGUGUAGAGCCCAGAGAAAUGGAGAAGAAUAUGGACGAUUAGCUCCUGUCAAAAUGUAGCUAUCUUUGCCAAGAAUAACAUACUGAAAUUUCAGCUUAAUCAAACCAUGGAUGAAUCUCGAUCUUUGGCAAGAAGAAACUGACAUAGCGUAGUCUCUCUCUCUCUCUCUCGUUCGGUCUCUGUUUCAGAAGAAAAUGAAGCUGCCUAUUUUGGAAAGUCAGCUGCCCAUUUUUCUCCCUCAAUUGUAUCUAUAUUUGCCUUUGUUAUUGGACCAUUAAAUGGGUUUAAUUGGUUUGGGCUUUAGUGGGCUACUAAAUGGGUAGAUCCCUAAAGUGGAGGGAAAACCCAACAAAUCCCCCCCUCCCGACUAUAUGAGGGACUCCACAAGCUCGCUUUCGUUCUAAAUAUUUGUAGUUUCUCCAUAGGCAAUGGCUUUGUCAUCAUAUCUGAACCAUUCUCAUCAGUAUGGAUUUUCCCAAGCUAUAACUUCUUCAUCUCCAGUGCAUCUCGAAUCCAAUGAUACCUCACUUCAAUGUGUUUGGAUCUUAGGUGGAAAGUUGGAUUCUUACUAAGAUGGAUUGCACUCUGACUAUCACAAUAGAGAAUAUACUUUUCUUGCUCUAGGCCCAGUUCUUGUAAGAACUUCUUCAUCCAUAGCAACUUCUUGCUAGCUUUAGUGAUGGCUAUGUACUCAGCCUCUAUGGUAGAUAGUGCAACACAUUUCUGUAGUCUAGAUUGCCAUGAAACUACUUCCCCUGAGAAGGUGAUCAAAUACCUAAAAGUGGACUUUCUAGAGUCUACAUCACCAGCCAUAUCUGCAUCUAUGAACCAAACAAGCUCGGGUUUGUUGGUGCCAAAAGAUAAACAUAUCUUAGAUCUCCCUCUGAGACACCUGAGAAUCCAUUUCACUACUGCCCAGUGUUCUUUUCCAGGAUUAGAAAGAAAUCUACUGACAACUCUAACAGAAUGAGCAAUGCCUGGCCUUGUGCAUACCAUAGCAUACAUCAAGCUACCCACAGCUGAUGCAUAAUGCACAUUCUUCAUUUCUUCAUUUUCAUUCUCGCUUGAAGGACUUUGUUUUGACCUCAAUUUCAAAUGACUUAGCUAACUGGUGUUGCCUUGUCCACAUUGAACCGGUGUAAUACCUUUUCGAUAUAACUUUCCUGUAAUAACCAUAAUCUCCCAUUCUUCUUGUCACGAGAGAUUUUCAUACCGAGGAUUUGAUUUGCAGGUCCCAAGUCCUUCAUCUCAAAGGACUUGCUCAUCUCAUUUUUCAACUUCUUAAUUUUAUCAGUGUCACGGCUAACAAUCAACAUGUCGUCCACAUAUAGCAAGAGAAUAAUAAAUUCCCCAUCAGAGAAUUUCUUUAUAAACACAUAGUGAUCAGAAGUUUUUCUAGUGUACCCAUGCUCAACCAUGAAGAAAUCAAAUUUCUUGUACCAUUGUCUCGGUGCUUGUUUGAGACUAUACAAGCUUUUCUUCAACCGACAUACAAGAUUUUUUUUUUUACCUUUAGCUGUAAAUCCUUCUGGCUGCUCCAUGUAUAUUUCCUCUUCAAGGUCACCAUGGAAGGAAAGCGGCCUUCACAUCAAGUAAUUCAAUCUCCAGAUUCAUACUAGCUGCCAAUCCUAACACAACUUGGAUUGAAGAAUUUUAACCACAGGUGAGAAGAUUUCUUCAAAAUCAAUACCUUUCUUCUGACCAAACCCCUUCACAACCAACCUUGCCUUGUACCUUGGCUGCAAGCUAUGUGGUCCAACUUUUAGUCUAAGCACCCAUUUUGUUCUUCAGUGCUCUCUUGCCCUUAGGCAACUCUACUAGAUCAUAGGUGAUGUUCUUAUGCAAAGAUUUCAUCUCUUCUCAUAGCUUUUAACCACUGAUUUUUCUGAUCAUGUAGCAGAAUCUCCUGAUAACUUUCUGGUUCUCCCCCAUCAGAAAGUAACACACAUUCAUUACUAGAAUAUUUUCUGGAAGGCUGGCACUCUCUAGUAGAUCUUUUUUACCCUUCUUCAGCUGAUGCAUCGAGAGGAACAUUCUCUUGAUUUUGAUCUGUUCCUGCAUUACCCUUUGUCGAGGCUUCAUCAUGUCUGUCUCCUAUAGUGUCAUUUUCUUCUUGCACAUUUUCUCUAUGAUCAUUAUGUACCACAGGAUCUAGUAGUGGUACAUGUGGAACUGAAUUGAUUUGUUCUUCAUUGACUGUAUUUGGCUUCUUAGUCCUGUCCAAAUCUUCAAUGGUUUCAUUCUCAAAGAACACAACAUCUCUACUCCUGAUAAUCUUUUUGUUCACAGGAUCCCACAAUCUGUACCCAAAUUCUUCAUGUGCAUAACUCAAGAAGAUACACUGUUUUGCUUUGCUAUCUAGUUUGGACCUUUCAUUUUUAGGAAUAUGAACAGAUACCCGACAGCCAAAAACUCUUAAGUGAUCAAGAGAUAAAUCUUUCUCUGUCCAAAAGUUCUGUGGAACAUCGCCAUUCAAAGGAACUGAUGGAGAAAGAUUAAUCAAGUCAACUGCCGUCCUCAUUGCUUCAGCCCAUAAGUGCUUAGGUAAUUUUGCAUGAGAGAGCAUACAUCUGAUCUUCUCAUUAAUGGUCAUGUUCAUUCUUUCUGCCACCCCAUUUUGUUGUGGGGUCUUUGGAACAAUUUUCUCAAACUUGAUGCCAUGUCUCCUGCAGUACUCUUCAAAUGGCCCUCUGCAUUCACCACCAUUAUUUGCUCUGACACAUUUUAACUGUCUUCCAGUUUCUCUUUCAACUUUCAAAUGAAAGUCUUUAAAUACUUCCAACACCUGAUCUUUAGACUUCAAAGAAUAUACAAACACUUUUCUAGAGUGAUCAUCAAUAAAUGUAACAUAAUACAAUGCACCACCUAGAGAUUUACUUUGCAUCAUGCAAAUAUCGGUAUGAACUAAAUCAAGAAUAUGAGUCUUUCUAGAUGCAGGAAAUCUAUGAAAUACAACUCUAGUUUGCUUACCAACUAAGCAAUGAGUACAAGGGAUAAGUGAUGUACCUUUCACGUUAUGUAAAAGCUUCUUUCUGGACAUAAUUUGAAGUCCCUUUUCACUCAUGUGGCCAAGCCGCUUAUGCAUAGCUCAGUAGAGGCUUCAUUUUCAGCAAUAUUCAUAUUUCCAUAAAUUAGUUUUGUUUCUGUUUUGUAGAGAUCAUUAGUCUUUUUCCCUCUGGCUAAAACAAGAGAACCCUUUGUAAGUUUCCAAGAACCAUCUCCAAGGUGAUUAUGAUAGCUUUCUUCAUCAAGCUUUCCAACAGAAAUCAAGUUGCAGCGCAUAUCAGGAACAUGUUUGACAACCUUGAUAAAUAACUUGCUACCAAUGCUAGUUUCCAAUUGAACAUCCCCCAUACCAACAAUUCUUGCUUUAGCUUCAUUUCCCAUCCUGAUCCAACCAAAAUCACCACUGGUAUAGGAUGAAAAGAAAUCCCUAUGUGGAGUAAUAUGAACAGAAGCUCCUGUAUCGACUAUCCACGUAGAAUCCUGGCAUGAAAGGCUAGCAAAUGCUUCAUCACAAGCAACAAAUACCUCUGCAUCAAAUGCAACUGCUGUGAUCUCCUUUUGUUCUUUCCGUUCUUCACCUUUCAAUUUAAACUGUUCUCUUUUCCAUUUCUUGCACUCCUUUUUAAGAUGCCCUAGAUUGCCACAAUAAUAACAUUUUAUCCCUUUUCUUAACUUUGAUUUUCUUCUAGACUUGUCACGACUGUCAUCACCAUAAGAUUUUUUUACUUUGGUUUCUCCCCCUUCUUUCUGUAAAAAGUGCUUCAGAGUUAGAAGAAGCACCCUGCUCCUUUCUUCUGGCUUCUUCAUUAAACAUACUGUCUUUCACCAUGUUGACAGUGAUCACACCAUUUGGAGUUGAAUUGCUCAGAGAGACAACUAAAGUUUCCCAACUAUCUGGUAAUGAACUCAACAGAAGUAAAGCCUACACCUCACCAUCUAGUGUAAGCUUCAUGGUAGUUAACUCAUUCAACAACUCUUGAAAGCUACCGAAGUGCUCUGUAACACUAUUACCAUCCCUGUACUUUAAAUUUACGAGCCUUCUGAUCACAAAGGCCUUGUUCUGUGUGGUCUUUCUUUCAUAAAGACUUUCUAAUUUCUACUAAAGACUAUAUGCAUCUACUUCUUUGGCUAUAUGAUAGAAAACACUCUGAUCAACCCACUGCCUAAUUUGUCCAACAGCCUUUCUAUUCAAUUUCUUCCAAUCCUCAUCAGUUUUAGAAUCAGGUUGCUUUCUAUUCAAUUCAAUGGGAUCGAACAAAUCUUUGCAAUACAAAAUAUCCUCCAUCCUAGUCUUCCAAAUAGAAUAAUUGGAAGAUGUGAGUUUAACCAUGCCACUAGCCGAAUCCUCCAUUUUAAUUCUCACAAUAAUCACAGAGACUCAACCUCACUCUGAUACCACUUUGUUAGGGAUUGAACCAAUAACACAACCAAAGCAGCGGAAUCCAAUAUCACAAUCCCCUAUUAUGCAGAAUCAAAAUGGCAGUAAAAUAACACCAGCUCCAACUCACACACACUGGCAGAAAUGUAAAGAUAAGAACACCAAUAUUUGUUCACUAGGGAAACCGUUCAACGUGAAGGAAAAACCCCGGGGACCUAGUUUAGUAAAAGCCAUCCACUAUCAAAAUAAUGGGAUACACACCCUCUCCAUAACACAAUCUAGAGGCUACAAAUACAUCAAGAACACAUAUAUUCUUGGAUAUCAACAACAACAUUAUACUAAAAUAGAUACACACACAUAAUAAGGAGAAAAUCUUACUAAACUAGUGUAUAGAGCCCAGAGAAAUGGAGAAGAAUUUGGACGAUUAGCUACGAUGAAAAUGUAGCUAUCUUUGUCAAGAAUAACAAACUGAAAUUUCAGCUUAAUCAGACCAUGGAUGAAUCUCGAUCUUUGGCAAGAAGAAACUAAAAUAGCAUAGUCUCUCUCUCUCUCUCUCGUUUGGUCUUUGUUUCAGAAGAAAAUGAAGCUGCCUAUUUUGGAAAGUCUGCUGCCCGUUUUCUCCCUCAAUUGUAUCUAUAUUUGCCUUUGUUAUUGGACCAUUAAAUGGGUUUAACUGGUUUGGACUUUAGUGGGCUACUAAAUAGGUAAGUCCCUAAAGUGGAGGGAAAACCCAACAAAAGGAAGAAAAUGAACUGCAUUAUUUUCUCCUUAUGUCAGCAGUUGAACUAACAGCAAAUUCUGUUAGUGAAUUCAUGACUAUUAACAUUCCAGCACAAAGCUCUCUUCUGGCUACUUCAGCCACUUUCUCUGCACUCAGUACUUCAUCUUCAAGUUGGCAACUUCCAUGUCUCCUUGAGGUUCUCAUUUCCCUCCAUAGAUCUUUGAAGCACUUAGUUUCUUGGAAGAUUUCUUAGAAGAAUCUUUCUCAAGUUGUUGUGCAUACAAGUAACCAACACCUGCUGCUGCAAGAUCGAGUCCAUCAAGUCCCGGAGCUUCCUGGAUUGCAUCAAGGAGCCUGGACCAUUGGACGCAAAUGUUAAACAUUGACAUCCCCCAAAAAUAUAUCUUGAAUGGUCAUCUGUGAAUGAGAUAAAAUACUUCUAACCAUUUAGACAAGGAGUAGAAAAAGGUCCACAAAUAUCCAUGUGAAUAAUCUCAAGAAUGUCCGACCUCUUGGCACCUUUAGUAGUCUAGUUUGUCUGCUUCCUUUUAUGCAGUCAAUAAGUCCUAAAAUCAGUAAAGUCUAAGAGUUAGUAAAAGUAAAACUCCAUCAUUCAUUAAUCUUUUAAGUCUUUCUAUGGAUAUAUGUCACAAUCUCCUGUGCCACAACUUAUAGGAGUUCUCUUUAACAAUACAAUGCUUAUUGUUAAGACCAUCACCAUGCAGUUUGGAUAAGUUACACUAAUAAGUGGGAUCCAAAAUAAAUUUAUAUAAAUUAUCGAUCAAAACAUCAUAUCCAACAAUAACUGAAUUGUGAAAUAAGCUAAAACUUCUGUUUUCAAAUACAAACUUGAAAUUCAAAGGUGUUAAUCUUAAAAUAGAAACUAAAUUACAUGAAAAGCUUGAAACAUAAAAAGUGUUUUUAAGAUCCAAAUGAAAACUAGAAUUUUAAACUAAUCGAAAGGUUCCCACGCCUUCAAUUGUUGAACUCAACUGGUUUCCAAAAUAGACUCUUUGUUCAUUUGGUUGCGAUUUCCUUAGGUUCAAAAAGCCGUGCAUAAUAUUGGCAGUGUGAAUUAUAGUACCUAAAUCAAUCUACCAUGUAUUGUUUGAAAAAUUAACCAAAAGAGAAUCAUGACACACUAAAGAGAUAACGGUAUCUUUCUUUUCAAGCCAUUUCUUAUACUUGAAACAGUCCUUCUUCAUAUGCCUUUUCUUCUUGCAAAAAAAUAAAAAUAAAAAUAAAAAUAAAUAAAUAAAUAAAUAAUAAGAAUAAUAAUAAUAAUAAUAAUAAUAAUAAUAAUAAUAAAAAAUUAAAAAAAAAACAGAUAUCCUUAUUACCCUUUUACUUCAUUGGCAUCUUGUUCUUUUUUUUUUUUUUUUAAAAACCAUAUUUACCCUUGUUUUCAUUUCCUUUAUCAUGAGUUGUCAGAUGAGUAGUUUCCUACCUUUCAUGCUUUAACCUCUCUUCCUCUUGAACACACAUUGUUAGGAGUUCAUUCACAAUCCAUUUUUCCUUAUGUGUGUUAUAUUAUACAAUAUUUUAAUUGACCACACUCCGUAGGAAGAGAGUUCAAAAUGAGAUGAACAAGGAAUGAAUCGGAAAUCUCUAUCUCCACGGAUUUCAGAUGAGCGGCAAUGUCUCUCAUAUCCAUUAUAUGCUCAUGCUCACCUUUAGAAUUGUCAAACUUUAUGCCUGAAAGCCUUUUCAUUAAGGUGUUGGCCAACAUUUUUUCAGAACUUCCAAAUUGCUCUUCAUCGACCUUUAUGAAGUCCUUGGCCUUAUCAAAUUGAGGGGUUGAUCUCCUGAAGCUUUUGCUGACAUGAGUCUUCAUGAGAUUCACGCUCAAAUGAUUAGAUCUUUCCCACGAUUCAUGUAGUCACCUCUCUUCUAGCGUACUUGAUUCUGUAUGAACAAGUGGUUCAUCUGCACGGAGCAUCAAGUCGAGAUCCACACAUCCCAAAAUAAAGAGAAUUUUCUCCUUAAAGGCGGAAAAGUUAUCACCAUAUAGAAUUGGAAUUCGAAUAGAGUUAUUGAAAAAACUAUGAACCGUUGCAUAAGAUAAACACAUACAUUAAUGCUAUGAAAACUAUUUUUAUAUCUAAUUAACCAAUGUCAAUUCAAUUAUAUAAAUUCAAACCUUGCUAUAGGUAAAGGUAGUUAUCACACAUUGAAUUUACAAAGACUUUAGUAAUAUCAAAUACAAUUUUUUUUUUUUUAAUGUAAUUGUGGGCCUAGGAAAUUUCUUGUUUCAACAUUUAAUGAUUACUUCAUUGCAAUUAAAUCUUUUUAAGAUAACCAUUUUCCCAUGGGGCCAAAUAAUCAUCCCAUGAAUUAACUGCACUUUAUGAGAUGUCCUAUGUAUCAUCAAAUAAUUCAUGAUAGGAUUUUAUGUUCCAUGACACAAAAUUAUAACUAAAGGUGCUUUGGCUAUUUUUAAGUUAUAAUAACAUGUCGAAAUCCAAAAAUGAUGUCUCCAAACUAAGAAUCUUUAAGGAGGUUGAUGAAAGUGUACUAAAUCCUCCAACAAAAUAUUUAACAUAUUUCUCAAAUUUUAGAUGUUGAGGGGUUUUUUUUUUUUUUUUUUUUUUUUUUUUUUUUUAAAGACAAAUAAGCUGCUAGCUAACAAUUCUACUAUAACAGUAUUUAAAUAACUUAAAGCAAUAGCAAAUAGAGAAAAUUAUAAUUACAGCAGAUACCUUAAUGUCUAUUUUAAUCCAAAAUCAGUUACGCUUCCAAUAUUUACAGUGAAAGAUAGCUGUCAUGGUGAAUGUUUAUGAAAUGGUUUUAGUAAUUUUCAAAAGUUGGACACUUAAAAAUAAUAAUUGAAGUUUUAAAUGAUGGUUACAUAAACUACUUUACACGAUCCACUUCUAUAUACAGCAUUUCUAAUCUGUAUAAUUACAUGCGAAUUUUUUUAAUAAAUGACGCGUAAAUAUUGCACAUUAAUUCCCAUGCAUUUGAAAAAUAAAACCCAUUUAUCAAAUUAACCAUUAACUCAAAACGACUAGCCUCAAGAAAUCAUUUAAUAUGAAAAAUUAGACCCUUAUCAUCAUAUGCAUGGAAUGGUUAGUAUUUGCAGCAACCAGAUCCACUACAAAUUAGACUAUUAAAAUAUAAUUGAGUCACUUAUAAACAUAAAAUAUGCCACAAUUUUAGAUCUGAAUAACAAGCAUGAAAGAUGGCUCUAAUACCAUAUGUAAGAAAUUUACAAUAUACUUCCAGUCAUAUUAUUUAAGAUAAGAAUAAAAUUCACUAUAGGACUUCAAACACCAAUGAAUCUUCAAACCAAAAUCCACUUGAUAAUUCCUUUUAACUUGAUGUAAUAAUACACAGGACUUCCUUUAGAGAGAGAGAGAGAGAGAGAAUAAUACAGAAAAUUUGUAUAAGUUUGGCUUGGGACUCUCUGGCAUCCAUAUAUAGACACCACUAAAGAGAUCGACACUUUAUAAAAAAAUGGUAUUUGAAUGUAAUCCGAUACAUAUUUCUUUACAGAGAUGCUACUAUUUAUAUACAGUAUAGGAACACAUACGAUUGUAGGCUAAGAAGAAGAGAUAAUUGAAAAAUAGAGCCUGACUAAUCUAAUACACUGAUAAGGUUAUCAGGUAAUUGGAGCAAUCUGAUGAAGUGAUAACGUUAUCAGAUGUUUGGAGCCUUAUCUACAGAAAUAUUCGAAAUUUGAUUUGGAGAAUCUCUAACAUGCCCCCACAAGAUGGUACUCCCAUCGGAGACACCAAUCUUGGAUCGAAGAGUAAGAUGCCACUGCUUAGGCAAUGGUUUUGUUAAAAGAUCAGCAAGUUGAUCAUGAGUGGAGACAUGAGAAACCCUUAGUUGACCUACAGCAACUUUGUCACGAACAAAAUGGAAAUCAAUUGCUAUGUGUUUCACGUGAGAGUAAAAAACUGGGUUGGCACAGAGGUAUGUAGCCCCAACAUUGUCACAAUAGAUAGUGGGAGGAACAAUGGUAAUGUGUAGCUCCUGAAGAAGGGAGCCAAUCCAACAAAGUUCAGCAGCGGUUGAAGCGACAGCUCUAUACUCAAAUUCAGUGGAAGAGCGGGCAAUAGAUUUCUAUUUUUUCAGGUAACGAAAAAUACAUUUGAUGGCUGUCCAAUGAGUUUGUGUUGGGCAGUGCAUAAGCUGAGCAAGUUGUUCACAGCAAAGGAGAUAACCGGGCGAGUAAGAGACAAGUACAGAAGUGAGCUAACAAUUUGCCGAUGGUCCAUUGUUCGUCAAAUUCCCAUAAGUGUACGAUUUCGUUGUACAAGUAAUAAUCGUGAUGAGAGAGUUAUCGUCCAGCAGGGAAUAAUGAUUAAUUCUAGUAUAUUUGAUAUAUUUAAAUUCGUGUUUAUAACCAAAAGACGAUUGAUGAAUAACUAACUAAUUUUUUUUAUAACUAAAACUUAUGAAAUCAAUGAAAAUUUGUUUUUAAAAACAAUCAAGUGUGUGAACGUAUUGGAUUUCUAAUGCCAUCGAUCAAUUCUUAGUUCUAAUUCUCAACCAGUAAUAAUUAUCUUAAUUCAUGCAAUUGCGACGAUCGAUAAUUUCACUUUUAUUUAUUAUUCUUUCCCAAGAUAUAAUAAACUUAUGUUUAUCACGAGACGAUCAUAUUCCUAGUCCGAAUUCAUAUGGCAAACAUGCAUUGACAUUUAGGAUUAUCACAUAAGAUCGCAUACGCCACAAUUAUUAUUCCUAACAAUUAUUGUCCGUAUAUUCCAUCAACAGUGUUCUACAUACCGUGAGUUUUUCAACAUUACGAAUAAGCAACUUAUUGUCCUAAUGGUGCGCAAACAUUAAAAUAAUCUAAUUAUGCAUAUUAAUGAAAUCACAAUGCAAAAAUUAACAUAAAAACAUAGGUCUCGAAUUAAAACUAAUAAUUAAACAAUUUUGUCUUUCAUCCAAUACAUGAGAAAAAUUAGCCUAGCAUACUAUUGGAAUUAAACACAUAAAAGUGAAAGGAAAUCACCGAAAAUCGACGGGACAUGAUUAAUCUUCAAGCUCCUUGCAGAAUUAUUGAAGAAAGUUGCACAAAGAAAACUCAGCCAACAACCUUUCUAGGAAUCCAAUAUUAAAUCUCUUAUUUCCGACCAGCUUCUCUAUAGGUUUUCUUCCUCUCGGUUCCAUGUGUAUCAAUGUAUAUUACUCCCCCAAUUGGCUGCCUUUUUGUCUAUAGAUUAAUCUCCAAUUCCUUUCAAUUUUCCGCCGAAAUUGCUAUAUAUAUAAACCAGCCAAAGCAGCCCUUUUUCUUUGCCUUUUUUCCCAGCAGCUCUGCCUUUUUUUACUGCCCAAAUUCAGCAGUAUGUAUAAUAUGUUGACCCCCAACCGCUGUUUCUUCUUGCCAUAAUAUCUCUCAAUUCAGGCCCUUUAUUCGACCGGCAGCCGUCCCUUUUUUUCCAAUUAAUCCCCCCAGUUGGCGUCUCUUUUUGUAUGUGGAAGAAAAGAAACUCCUUCAGCUCCUCCAAAGUGCUGCCCAAUUGUUUUUCCCUAUGUUUCCUCAAGCCGCCCUUUUUUGUUGACUCACAAAAGAAGACAAUUUUUUUUUCUAGGUUAAUCUCCAACUCUCCUUCCCCAGCAGCUUGGCAGCCAUCCCCCUUUCUAUAUAUUUCCCAUAUGUAUUCUCUAUCAUUGAAAUCAGCCCAAGAGGUCCACUUAUACCACAAUUUUCUCUAAGUCCUCAAUUGUUUUAAAAUCAUACAAUUUAAUCCUUGAACCCAAUUAAUUAUGCAACCAAUGCUUUUCUUUAGUUCAAGUCAAGUCCUUGAAUUUUCAAAGUGUUGAAUUUGAUUCCCAAACUUUCCUUCCAAUGGCCAAUUUUUUUAUCCGAAUGAGUCCAUCA